GACGAACGCUGGCGGCGUGCUUAACACAUGCAAGUCGAACGGAAAGGCCCUGCUUUUGUGGGGUGCUCGAGUGGCGAACGGGUGAGUAACCCGUGAGUAACCUGCCCUUGACUUUGGGAUAACUUCAGGAAACUGGGGCUAAUACCGGAUAGGAGCUCCUGCUGCAUGGUGGGGGUUGGAAAGUUUCGGCGGUUGGGGAUGGACUCGCGGCUUAUCAGCUUGUUGGUGGGGUAGUGGCUUACCAAGGCUUUGACGGGUAGCCGGCCUGAGAGGGUGACCGGCCAAAUUGGGACUGAGAUACGGCCCAGACUCCUACGGGAGGCAGCAGUGGGGAAUAUUGCACAAUGGGCGGAAGCCUGAUGCAGCAACGCCGCGUGCGGGAUGACGGCCUGCGGGUUGUAAACCGCUUUCGCCUGUGACGAAGCGUGAGUGACGGUAAUGGGUAAAGAAGCACCGGCUAACUACGUG
rnacentral:rRNA from 1 species